GUAAGGACCAUUUGUUGACCACCAAGUACAGAGCACCGGUCCAGGUCCUGCCUCUCGACUGCAGGGAGCUCCUGAGCUGAGCGCUGGGCUGAGGAAACAGGAAGACACAGUUGUAUGAAAUACCACACAGAGGGAUCUCCAACACUUUGGUCCCAAUGAUCAUCCUCUCCAUGCUGGGUGUGGUGACGGUCUUCCCGGUGAUGCGGUGGACCUGGUAAAAGGCGUGGGGCUUCAGGACCCUCUCGUCAGCUGUUCCUAUGAAGACCUGUAGCCCCAGUGGAGCUGUGCCUUGGUACCCACGAAGCUAUUAAGGACAACAAAGGUUACCAUCUAACUGGCAUAGCAAGAACACUGCUUUGCAUAGACCAUUUGUGCCAGGAAAACAAACCUUAACGGCUUAUUAAGUAACCCACCAAAGCAAUGAAUAAAGCAGAGC